GAUGAACGCUGGCGGCGUGCCUAAUACAUGCAAGUCGAGCGAACGGACGAGAAGCUUGCUUUUCUGAUGUUAGCGGCGGACGGGUGAGUAACACGUGGAUAACCUACCUAUAAGACUGGGAUAACUUCGGGAAACCGGAGCUAAUACCGGAUCAUAUUUUGAACCGCAUGGUUCAAAAGUGAAAGACGGUCUUGCUGUCACUUAUAGAUGGAUCCGCGCUGCAUUAGCUAGUUGGUAAGGUAACGGCUUACCAAGGCAACGAUGCAUAGCCGACCUGAGAGGAUGAUCGGCCACACUGGAACUGAGACACGGUCCAGACUCCUACGGGAGGCAGCAGUAGGGAAUCUUCCGCAAUGGGCGAAAGCCUGACGGAGCAACGCCGCGUGAGUGAUGAAGGUCUUCGGAUCGUAAAACUCUGUUAUUAGGGAAGAACAUAUGUGUAAGUAACUGUGCACAUCUUGACGGUACCUAAUCAGAAAGCCACGGCUAACUACGUG
rnacentral:rRNA from 1 species